CUCUACCUGUGUAGGCAGCGCGUUCGGUUGUUAACCGAAAGGUUGGUGGUUCGAGCCCACCCGGGAGCGA
rnacentral:tRNA from 1 species